AGCGAACGCUGGCGGCAGGCCUAACACAUGCCAGUCGAACGAACUCUUCGGAGUUAGUGGCGGACGGGUGAGUAACACGUGGGAACGUGCCUUUUGGUUCGGAAUAACUCAGGGAAACUUGUGCUAAUACCGAAUGUGCCCUUCGGGGGAAAGAUUUAUCGCCAUUAGAGCGGCCCGCGUCUGAUUAGCUAGUUGGUGAGGUAACGGCUCACCAAGGCGACGAUCAGUAGCUGGUCUGAGAGGAUGACCAGCCACACUGGGACUGAGACGCGGCCCGGAAUCCUACGGGAGGCGGCAGUGGGGGAUCGUGCGAAAUGGGCGGAAGCCUGACGGAGCCAGGCCGGGUGAAUGAUGAAGGUAUUAGGAUUGUAAAAUUCUUUCAACGGGGACGAUAAUGACGGUACCCGGAGAAGAAGCCCCGGCUAACUUCGUG
rnacentral:rRNA from 1 species